AUUGCCCUAUUAUUCACUAAAAAGCUCAUUUUAUAUCUCUUUCAGAAAAAAAAGCCUUCAGAUAAGAAUUCCACCACUUUCCCCCACCAAUUUAUAAAACAUAUCUGCUUGUCAUAAUAAUUUUUCUUUCUUUCCCUUUGUUCUGCUUUUAUCAAAGUCCAAUUCUUCACUAGUUUCAAGUCCACCUGAGACUUAAAUCCUGGUAAACCUAUGUCUUGGGUGGGCAUAGCAAGGAUGAUCACAGCCGUUAUGACCUCUUUAUUAGCUGUCCAGUGGUUGUUGGAAUGCAGAACUACUGGACAUCCACCAAGGCAUUCUUUUCUAUGUGGGAACUAAUGCCUUGGGGGUCCAAGAUGCUUUUGCUGACUUUCUCCCAGGCUGACCCUCAUAUGAGCUCCAUUUAGAUGUGAACCCCUGGUCUUACCCUGACCUGUAUGAUCCUAAAGCCAAAUGGAGGCUCAGGUAUAUAGUAUCCCCUUCCAACCCUCUUCCUUGCAAAUUUACCCUCAAAGGUAGGUGCUUUGAGGCUGUUAGUUUUGCAGUACUUGUGGUUGAAACUUUGCCCCAUUUCCCUCCUGUGCUGGAGCAGGCUGGGCAUCCCCUGGUCCUCAUUGUCAACUCUCCAUUUCCAAAUCCCUCUUAGAACACUUGUAUAUCUUCUGUGCAAUGUGUAAUAAAAUAUCUCUCUUGUUCUUUUAUUUUAAGGCCAAGUCAUCAGUGUAGACUUUGAAGCACUUAACCUAUGUGUUUCUCAAGAGUAUGCUCUUUGGAUUAUCUUCUGUCCCUCUCUGCUUUUUCCCAUGGAAUUAUUAGAAUUUUACUAUCUGAGAAUGAGUAUAAGUGUCAAAAGGAGAAGAAAAAGAUGAGAAGCCAGAUGACCAGUAAGGAAGCUGACUUGUAUACACAUGCAGGAGAUUCUCUAGGAAUAUAUUAAGAAGUAAAUAUUUUGCAUAUCUUCAACUUUAUGAGAGUGUCUAGAACCUGUCCAUUUCCAUGAAAAUUUUGAAUUGACAUCUCCAAGUAAAGAAAACAAAGCAACAGUGAAAUUAGUGGAAAUUGCAUCAAAUUUACAAAUCUGUUUGGUAAGGACUGACAUCUUUACAAUGUUGUUUUCCAAUUUGUGAUCAUAGUAUAUCACUGUUGACUUAUAUAUUUAAAUGACCUCCAAAGGCAACAUAAUUUUAUCCAUCAAGGUUUUGCAUACUUUUGUUAAACUUAUUCCUAAACAGUGAUAUUGUUUUUGCUUUAAUAAAUGUUAUAUUCUGAGGUUUUAAUUUCCAUUUGUGGCUUUAAAACAUUGCAUACUUUUGAUAAUAACUUUUGCAUCCAGACCAUCACUGAAUUCUUUCAUUAAUUUGCAUAAAUUUCACGUAAAAUGUUGAAUAGAAUUAGUAUUGUCAGACAUUCAGUUUUCAAAUUUCCAAGGCACGCUUUCAAUAGCUCCUUAAUACUUAUAUCUUGGUAACAAAAUUGCAUGAGGCUUAUCAAAUAGACCAGAAUAUGUUCUCAUUUCUUCCUCUGGAAUUUGCAAAAGAGAAAUUGCUUUGUCUUUGAUCAUCUGUUAAAGUAAGAAGUAAAGUCUGAAGCUUUCUUUGUAUAAAGAUUUUGAUCGCUUAAUUUAUUUUAUGUUUACAGAAAUAUAGAAUUCCCAUUUUCUAUUUUACCUUACUCAUGUUGGGCAUGGUAUCUA